rnacentral:rRNA from 1 species
AUUGAACGCUGGCGGCAGGCCUAACACAUGCAAGUCGAACGAGUGGCGGACGGGUGAGUAAUGUCUGGGAAACUGCCCGCUGGAGGGGGAUAACUACUGGAAACGGUAGCUAAUACCGCAUACCAUCGGAUGUGCCCAGAUGGGAUUAGCUAGUAGGUGGGGUAACGGCUCACCUAGGAGGCGAUCCCUAGCUGGUCUGAGAGGAUGACUGCCCAAUGUGGAACUGAGACACGGGCCAGGUUCCUAGGGGGGGCAGCAGUGGGGAUUUUUGAAUAAGGGGGGAAAGCCUGAUGCACCCAUGCUGCGUGUAUGAAGAAGGCCUUCGGGUUGAAAAGUACUUUCUGCGGGGAGACGUUACUCGCAGAAGAAGCACCGGCUAACUCCGUGCCAGCAGCCGCGGUAAUUC